GUGCCAGCAGCCGCGGUAAUUCCAGCUCCAAUAGCGUAUAUUAAAGUUGUUGUGGUUAAAAAGCUCGUAGUUGAACCUUGGGCCUGGCUGGCCGGUCCGCCUCACCGCGUGCACUGGUCCGGCCGGGCCUUUCCCUCUGUGGAACCCCAUACCCUUCACUGGGCGUGGCGGGGAAACAGGACAUUUACUUUGAAAAAAUUAGAGUGCUCCAGGCAGGCCUAUGCUCGAAUACAUUAGCAUGGAAUAAUAAAAUAGGACGCGCGGUUCUAUUUUGUUGGUUUAUAGGACCGCCGUAAUGAUUAAUAGGGACAGUCGGGGGCAUCAGUAUUCAACUGUCAGAGGUGAAAUUCUUGGAUCAGUUGAAGACUAACUACUGCGAAAGCAUUUGCCAAGGAUGUUUUCAUUAAUCAGGAACGAAAGUUAGGGGAUCGAAGACGAUCAGAUACCGUCGUAGUCUUAACCAUAAACUAUGCCGACUAGGGAUCGGACGGUGUUAUUCAUGACCCGUUCGGCACCUUACGAGAAAUCAAAGUGCUUGGGCUCCAGGGGGAGUAUGGUCGCAAGGCUGAAACUUAAAGAAAUUGACGGAAGGGCACCACCAGGGGUGGAGCCUGCGGCUUAAUUUGACUCAACACGGGGAAACUCACCAGGUCCAGACACAAUAAGGAUUGACAGAUUGAGAGCUCUUUCUUGAUUUUGUGGGUGGUGAUGCAUGGCCGUUCUUAGUUGGUGGGGUGACUUGUCUGCUUAAUUGCGAUAACGAACGAGACCUUAACCUGCUGACGUAC
rnacentral:rRNA from 1 species